rnacentral:rRNA from 1 species
GACGAACGCUGGCGGCGUGCUUAACACAUGCAAGUCGAACGGAAAGGCCCUGCUUUUGUGGGGUGCUCGAGUGGCGAACGGGUGAGUAACACGUGAGUAACCUGCCCUUGACUUUGGGAUAACUUCAGGAAACUGGGGCUAAUACCGGAUAGGAGCUCCUGCUGCAUGGUGGGGGUUGGAAAGUUUCGGCGGUUGGGGAUGGACUCGCGGCUUAUCAGCUUGUUGGUGGGGUAGUGGCUUACCAAGGCUUUGACGGGUAGCCGGCCUGAGAGGGUGACCGGGCACAUUGGGACUGAGAUACGGCCCAGACUCCUACGGGAGGCAGCAGUGGGGAAUAUUGCACAGUGGGCGGAAGCCUGAUGCAGCAACGCCGCGUGCGGGAUGACGGCCUUCGGGUUGUAAACCGCUUUCGCCGGUGACGAAGCGUGAGUGACGGUAAUGGGUAAAGAAGCACCGGCUAACUACGUG